ACGGAAGGCAGCAGUGGGGAAUAUUGCAUAAUGGGGGAAACCCUGAUGCAGCGACGCCGCGUGAGCGAAGAAGUAUUUCGGUAUGUAAAGCUCUAUCAGCAGGGAAGAAAUUGACGGUACCUGACUAAGAAGCCCCGGCUAACUACGUGCCAGCAGCCGCGGUAAUACGUAGGGGGCAAGCGUUAUCCGGAUUUACUGGGUGUAAAGGGAGCGUAGACGGUCGUGCAAGUCUGAAGUGAAAGCUUGUGGCUUAACCAUGGAACUGCUUUGGAAACUGUACGACUUGAGUACCGGAGGGGUAAGCGGAAUUCCUAGUGUAGCGGUGAAAUGCGUAGAUAUUAGGAAGAACACCGGUGGCGAAGGCGGCUUACUGGACUGUAACUGACACUGAGGCUCGAAAGCGUGGGGAGCAAACAGGAUUAGAUACCCUGGUA
rnacentral:rRNA from 1 species